GUGGUCAUUGACUUCAGCCCACAUGGACUAAAAUUCUCCAUACAAAGAAGACUAGCACAAUCCCUGCACAAGAGUGAUAAGCAAAUUCAUGAAGUGUUUCAUUUUUUU